rnacentral:rRNA from 1 species
UCUGGUCCUUUUGUGCCCGCAGCCGCGGUAAUACGUAGGGGGCAAGCGUUAUCCGGAUUUCCUGGGUGUAAAGGGAGCGUAGACGGCAAGGCAAGUCUGAUGUGAAAACCCAGGGCUUAACCCUGGGACUGCAUUGGAAACUGUCUGGCUCGAGUGCCGGAGAGGUAAGCGGAAUUCCUAGUGUAGCGGUGAAAUGCGUAGAUAUUAGGAAGAACACCAGUGGCGAAGGCGGCUUACUGGACGGUAACUGACGUUGAGGCUCGAAAGCGUGGGGAGCAAACAGG